rnacentral:lncRNA from 13 species
GAGCCGGCGCAGUAAGGGGACAGGGGGGAACGGGACAGGGGCCGGAGUAGGAGACCGGGACCCCUCUCUGAGAGGCAGCCCCCAGGCCCCCCAGCGCCGGCCUACCUACGAUGCACAGCAGCAUUCCGUCCGCCCGCGCUCCUCCUCAACCACUGACAACACCACACCAAGUAGCCCUUCCCUUGGUUACCACCCUGGAUACGUGACGCCAGGCGACGUGGUGCUAUCGUCAGGAUACCAGUCCACGGAGGAGACAGAGAGGUCCUAGGAGAUGGGUGGUACAGACAGACAGUCAGCCAGCACCUCCCCCUCCCCUUGUCCUGCAACCUUGCCUUGUCCUACAAUAAAUGUGACGGAGCAGAAGACAGAGAGUGUGUGUCUGUGUGUGUGUGUUUGCUCAUCAGACUUUGUAUGUGUGUGUUUUCUCUUAAGACUCUGCGUGUGUGCAAAAAUAGUUUUAUUCCUAUUUCUGUCUGCUCUGUAAAUCCCACUUUGUGUGUGUGUGCGUGUAACUCUGUGCUGUCAGCCAUGAGGUGUGAUUGUGUGUGUGUGUGUGUGUGUGUGUGUGUAGAGAGGGAGAGCUUGAGAGAUGGAAACCAUGCUGAGUGUGAGUAGAGGGCAGCACAGCUGAGCACUCUUUAUCUCUGUCUAUUCUCCCUGCCUCCCCUUCUCUCCCUCCUCACCUCCCUCUCGCUUUCUUUUCUCUCUUCACUUGUGUUUGCGCACUAGAUGAACCAACAUGGAUUAGAGCAGUUUGGAACAGAGAGAAUUGUGUUUUUCUGUGUGUAUUCACGUACAUAUACUGUAUCUUUGUGCGUGUAAUAGAUUGCAGCCUGUGGGUCUGUGUGUGUGUGUGUGUGCUAUGUGUGUGAGUGUACUGGCUCUGGAUGUGUGUGUUACUCUUGGGAAGAACUCAGUGUGUGUGGAGUGGAGUGGACAGAGUGGAUCGUCAGUCUCUCCGUCAGUCAGGAUGGUGCAGAGGUUCAGUUUACGCAGACAAUACUCCAAGGUAAGACUGCUAACAGACUACCACUCAGCUGUAUAGUGACCCACUGAGCUAAACAUAAUACAGUACAUUGACUUCAUAUUAGUCUGAUCAUUGGGGACCUGUGACAUACUUCUAGUACCGGCUAUCUGUCAGGUUAUGGAAAAGUCGCUCUGAGUCAAUGCUGUAUUUCAUGUGUCAUGUAAAAUCAAGUAUUUUUCAAGUGUUA